rnacentral:lncRNA from 1 species
CAAACAAUAGAGAUAACAAUUUUGUCAGCGGAGAAUCUCCAAGAAAACAAAAAAGCCAUAAAAGGAAACACAUUUGUCACGGUUCAAUGUGACGGAAGCAAUAAUGAAGUGAGCACCACGAAACUUGAUUCUGAAGGCGGAAGUUAUCCUACAUGGAACGAGAAGGUAGUGAUCGACAUGCCAUUACAUGCAAGGUUCGUUACAAUAGAGGUGAAGUACAAAACUAGAGGAAGUAGUAGUAAUAGUGUUGGAAUAGCUAGAGUACCUGUUUCCGAUUUUGUUGGAGGGUAUGUACAUGAAAAUCAACUGCAAUUUUUAAGUUAUAGGUUGUGGGAUAAUAGAGUUAUGAGAAAUGGGGUUGUAAAUAUUUCAGUGAAGGUAAAAAUGUCCCAACAAAAUUCUUGCUCGAGUUCGAUGUCAUCGACGAUGAAUGGAGUUCCAGUAACUGGCGUUCCGGUGGCCGGUAAUGGCUCCUGCAGCAGAGUUGCAACAGGGAUUCCUGCUGUUUGGUUAAAAUACCAAAGACACAUUUGAAAGGCUACAUUGUAAUCAUCAUGUACAUUAAAAACAGAAAGCAUACAUUUCCAUACUGACAAUACACGUGGGAAUUAAAUUUGUCUCAAUUUGUAUAUUUAUUUCAUGUUCUUCUUUUUUUUGUUUGCAUUUAUUUCAUGUUCUUUUAACAUUAUAUCAAGGGUCUUGUUAACGAGUGUCCUUUGAGCACUCUGCAUUCUAAAUCAAGAAAUUAUUCUUUAAAAAGUGAAAUAGUUCAAUUUCCAAGGCCUUGAAUACAUAAUUUUUCAUAAAAAGUUUACAAAUCAUUUUUGUUAAUAGUUUUUUUCUUUUAUCAGUUUUACAACUCAACACUAAAUAUUGAGGUAAGAGAUAAAAUAUAUACAAAAGGAUGAGUUGUUCGGAACAACUCAAGUUUUUUUUUCUUAAACAAGACAAAAUGAGAUAUAUUAACAAAAAAUUCUGCUCCCUAUAACAAGGAAUGCAAAGAGAAGCAGAACAAAAUUACAACAAUCAAUCCUUCUGAAUCAAAAUAGUGGUAAACAACGGUCAACCAAUCCUCAAACAAACAAGGAGUUGCUGCCACCACAUAUGGUAACCAAAAGGAAAGCAAACAUUUUUCGCUUUCAACCACGUAAGUGAAGUGAUUUUUACCUUUUCCAUAAGCUGCACAACCAAUUUUACAUUAUUAGAGAACAACUGUUUGUUUCGUUCAUUCCAAAGAAUCUAAAUACAACAAAGUCAAAUCAUAUUUAAGAAUGAACGACAAGGAGUGUAUCCUCCUGAAGAGUAUAUGAAUGGAUGAAAAUGAUCCAUAACAUGUUGGAGAUCCACAUAAUACACACCAAACCAGCUCUUCAAGUGUUGCCAAAGAGAACCAAAAGUAGAAUAAUGUAUUAAUAGAUGUUAUGCUGUUUCAUUUUGGCCACACCCUGAAACACACAAUAAAGAGUCUGGGGAAUGACUUCACGACGCCCUAAGUUAUCCUUCGUAGGCCACCUGUUGUGGAAUAGACGCCACACACAGAUAGAAAUCUUUAAAGGAACACUUUUAUGCCACACCGCUUCUGAAAUGUCGUCAUGGUCGUGCAUCUCUUGCCGCAUGAGCAUUUGAUACACCCCACGAACUGUGUAGCUAUCUGUUAACACAAAAAAUAAAAUAUUUGGUCGAACUCAUAAUUCUAUUUUCGACAAGGCAGAUGUGUUAUUUCGACAUGCUGCAAAGUGCAAAGAGAUUUCGACCAAGAACAUACAGACUUCGACAUGCUGCAUUUUCAACAAAGUAAUUUAAUAUAUUUCAUGCAUGUGGCUAAUGAAGCCUUGGAGAACCAUUAGUUUAUCAAGUGAUUCAUUUUUGUGGGAAGAGCCUUGGAGAAAUGAAGAAAUUAUUAGCACAAUACGUGAUGUAACAUGAUUAUGCAAGAUCCAAUGUCUAAAGAUUUAGUAUACCUCAACGUGGACAUGGUACUUGUAACAAUAAUAAGGCAAAGUCGAAUAUGCGGUGACAAACAAGACUGAAGUGCAUUGAAGAUUAUUUCCUAGUGUCUUAGGAAGUUAUUUCUACUUUCAAUAUAGACUGUAGGAUUUAGUGUUAGUUUUCUCUACAAGGUCUAUAUAUAUCAGUUUGUAAUAAUAACAAUGGGUUGGUUUCUUGAUUUUUGAAAACUCUGUAACACCCACGCCAUGGGAGCAAACGGGUUCAGGAGUGGAGAGAUUGACAGAUUCCGACCACCCUUUACAUUCCUAUAAUUUAAUACCAAUGUUCUUGUUUUACUUUCCUUUUUCUUUUGCAUUUCUUUUCAUCUUUACUCUAUUUCUUUUUAUUUUUAACAUGCUCACUUGAGCAAUUUUCUAUCAUGUUGUCAUGAGACAACUUGUUAUUACAAGAUGUUGGAAGCAAUUCUGACAUUAAUGUUCUUAAAGAAUGCAUGAAGUGAUGUCUUAAACCGCGAAGCUUGAACGAUCCCCUUUAAAAAUACAUUUGUUAUCAUCGACGGCAAAUGAAGUUUACGUUACCAAAAAUCGGUGUAAACACUAUCUCCUGCAUUCGGGAUCUGCCAACGGUAUUUGAUUGAAAGAGUGCGGUACCGGUACGAAAGGGAGCUAGCUAAGGCAGCAAGCCAAGAAAGGCAGAAUAUUAGGCCUUUUUUUUAGAAAGGAAGCCAACUCUUGAUUCUGAACUUCGUUCGCGAAGGAACCGGAUGUUUGACGGGCCAGCCCUUUUUUAUGCGCCGCUUUACCCUGAAAGGAUAAUUAGCUUUGCGUCAAACAUCUGAAAAAAUAAAUUAUCAACUGGAUUAAGCUCACGGGAUUAAUGAUGAAUGAUCUUUAUUAAACAAAUAAAUUACAUGACUCUCAAUAAUUUUACCUUUUCCGACAGUUGGUAUGUAUUGUUUUAAUCUUCUUUUAAUUGACUAUUAAUCCAGUCUCCAUUAUCUUUUAUUAGUUUAUGUUACAUUUUUAUAAAAUGUUUUUAAAGUUUAUAAAAUGAUUUGUAAACAGCAAGGAAGAUAUCAUACUUCUAACCACCAUCCCAUCCCUUCUUUAAAUAAUCAUUCCACAUUGAUUAAAGUGAGUUUUAUCUAUCAAAAUUAGCACAAGUUUGAACGUGGACAUACAUGUUUAUGUCUCACAUAUAAAAUACAACUUAUUUCUACAUUUUUUCAUGUCAAAAUUCUUAGCCAUUUGCAACACCUAUUGUUGUUAUUUGAACCAACACGAGUUGCUACUUAUUUAAUUAUUACAUGAAUGAGAGGCAACAAUGCAUCUUUUGGCCACGUAUUGACGUGAGAUUGAUCUUCUGACUGGUCUAGAAUAGAUGGUAUUUAAUUUCAUUAUAUCUGCCGCAUUUUUUUAGUCCAUGGUCUGUCUCCUUACCCACUAGCCCCAAUUUAUUUAAUGUACUACGAAUGCAACAAGGGAAGGAAACAUCCUUCAAGCAUGCACCAUUAUUCUUCUCCAAUCAAAUCUUGAUUCUUAAUUUCUUAUCAUCCUAGAUCUUCCAAACUCAUUUUUGGCUUCAUUCAUACACUCUGAUAUGGACAAAGAUAGUGGGGCACAUCAUUGAUAUUGAUCCAUAUACAUUAAUAUUAAUUUAAAAUUAUAAAAAUGAUUGAAUGUCUAUAGUUUCCAAAAUUACAACAUUUCCAGUAUUUUUCUCUUGACGAAUCCCUAAUUGUCUCUUAAGGGGUCAACCACUGUGUUUCCAAGGAAAAAGAGGUGACGACUUAAGUUUAGAACGGUCAUUAUUCAUGAAUUGGAAAUUAGGAAGCACUUAUUGUCAUUGUAAAAUGAACGAGUCAAACAAAAUAAAACAAAAGAUCGAACUUUUCUCCCCUUGAACUUACAAAACAACGCAAGGCAACUUCUUCAUAAAAUCUUUCAAAGUUGAUCAAAGUAUAGUCUUUAUAAUUAAAAAACAUAUUACUGAAAUUGUAAAUCAAAAGGAGAAUUUCAUAUUCGAUGAGUCUAUGCUAGAUUUGUUGGGUUAAGAUCCUCUCCAUUUAAUAGUUCCAUGUUGGAUAGUGAGUUAUUCUUCAUCUUACAUACUAUGUUGUAUAGUUUAGUUAGACCCGAUCUAAAAAAUUUAAAAUGGUAUGAGAGCCUAUCCAAGAUCUGUUAUCAGAUCACUGCCAUCAGACCACUCGAUUUACGCUACAAAUGUCUUGUCCUGGAAGCCAUCAGUUAUCAUAUUAUAGAUGCGAAGUUUUCAUAACCGUUGGUUAACGAUGAAUAAUCCCUAUUGGAAAACCUAUUGCACACGAAGUAUAUUCUCUCCUCUUAUUAUUUUGACCAAUCUAUUGUUUAUGUGAAGUGAUGGUUUUACUUGCAUGUUUGAGUUUUGUUUUUAAAAAGGCAAAAUGAAGCAUAUUUUUGAAACGGACAAAGAAAUACCGAAAUUGUUGUUCACACAUGUGUUUAAGCUGAAACACACUAAUAAAAGACCGAAAUACCCCUUCGACAGUUAACUGCCGCGGAACUCCAAAUCUAAAAUUAUAGAGGAUGCAGAUCUGAAACAAUAAAUGAAAUUCGUCUCAGUAUUCUCUCCUGCAAGAAAAGACAAUAAGAUCCAACAAAAACAUGAUCAUGGAGUGUGGGCAUGUAACCACUAACUUGGAAAAAGAAAGUUCAAACCAGAAAGACAUGACUAUCUAGCUUUUAAUAGUAAUAUAUAAAACCUUCUGAUGAUGAUCAUAUUGCAGAAUAAUCUCACUCUAUAUUUUCAUAGUAAUGCUGAAAUAAUCUCAGUCUACAUUAUUAAUUUAUAAGUGCAUAUACAAAUUCAAACUUUUGAUGUGGUGCUGAGUCUGUACUCUUACUACAGAACAAAACAUUGACAUUCAGGGGAAGAAGAUAGCAGAAAAACACCAGUAUUGCUCCGCAGCAGUUAGCUGCUGAAGUUUCUGUGGUAGUUAACUGCCAAAGGGGUAUUUCAGUAUUUUAUUGGUGUGUAUAAGCUUAAACACAUGUGUGAACAUCAAUUUUCAAGAUGUGCAAGGACCAUAUUUGAGUAUUGAGUUUUUUCUUUGGAAAAAAAGAUUUUUUUGAACCAAAUUUUUCUCUAUUCGUAUUCUAAUUUUGUAGUGUUAAAUGAGCUCUCGUAAAACGAAUUCGGGUUCGAUUUCUAGAAGCCGCAAUUAUUAACAUAAUUUUACUUAUCUUUCGAACGAACUCUGAAUUAUUAAAAGGAGAAAACUUAGGUAUAAUUCUUUGGGUGCUUUUCGUAUGGUUCUUAACUAAAAAUACAUAUUUUUUGGAUAUAACAAAACUUUGAGAAAAUUAUGAAUUUGAGGAAAUCAUCGUGAAUUUAGUUAAUAACCAUACGAAAAGCAUCUAAGAAAUUGUACCUAAGUUUUCUCCUUAUUAAAACUCCCUUACCUUGAAAACUGAAGAAUCGGAGAGCUAACACAAAAAAUGCUAAUUAUUAAGUUAGUUACAUAAUAAAGAAUAAUUCCCAACCUUAAGCUUUACAAUAAGUCAAAAAUCCCUUUAAAAAAAAGGAAAUGUUAACGAAUGUCUCGGAGCACUCUUUAAUAACUAUUAAUAGUAAAAAAUUUAUGAAAAAUUGUAAAAUCAAUGUAUUGGAAUUUGUAAAAUUUAAUUUCUUUAAAAAAUAUUUUUUAAAUUUGAGAUUCUAAAAGAGUGCUAUGAGACACUCGUUAAUUAAAACCCUAAAAAAAAAAGUUGAAUAUUCAUGCAAACAUAACCGAAAUUUCCAAGUACAUUCCGCCGUCACAUAUAUUUAACGUUCCAUAUCAACUUGAAUUGUCAAACACUUUCUUUUCACCGUCCAAACCACGCGCCGAUUUUUCCAACUUCUCAAUUCCACGUUAAAAAUGAACCAACCACUCUCUUUCUGUCUUGUUUCUCUCAUGUUUCUCUAAACUCACAUAUAUAUAUAGAUAGCACAAUCCUCCCCUUCUCUUCAAUCAACCUUCAACUCCCCAAUUUCUCUACACUCUCAAAUCAUACUAUUUCAUAAGGGAAUUGGUCUCUAUAGUUACACGAGAUAUCUUAAAACACUAAUAUAAAAUGUCGCAAACAAUAGAGAUAACAAUUUUGUCAGCGGAGAAUCUUCAAGAGAACAAAAAAGCCAUAAAAGGAAACACAUUUGUCAUGGUUCAAUGUGACGGAAGCAAUAAUGAAGUGAGCACCACGAAACUUGAUUCUGAAGGCGGAAGUUAUCCUACAUGGAACGAGAAGGUAGUGAUCGACGUGCCAUUACAUGCAAGGUUCGUAACAAUAGAGGUGAAGUACAAAACAAGAGGAAGUAGUAAUAGUGUUGGAAUAGCUAGAGUACCUGUUUCCGAUUUUGUUGGAGGGUAUGUACAUGAAAAUCAAUUGCAAUUUUUAAGUUAUAGGUUGUGGGAUAAUAGAGUUAUGAGAAAUGGGGUUGUAAAUAUUUCAGUGAAGGUAAAAAUGUCCCAACAAAAUUCUUGCUCGAGUUCGAUGUCAUCGACGAUGAAUGGAGUUCCAGUAACUGGCGUUCCGGUGGCCGGUAAUGGCUCCUGCAGCAGAGUUGCAACAGGGAUUCCUGCUGUUUGGUUAAACUACCAAAGACACAUUUGAAAGGGUACUUUGUAAUCAUCAUGUAUAUUAAAAACAGAAAGCAUACAUUUCCAUAUUGACAAUACACGUGGGAAUUAUUUAUGUCUCAAUUUGUAUAUUUAUUUCAAUGUUCUUUAAUAUUACAUCAAUCAGUAUUGCAAUUUAAACAUGAUCAAACUCAACACUAAAUAUUAAGGUAAGAGAUAAAAUAUGUAUCAAAGGAUGAAUCGUUCAAGACAACCCAAAUUUAGAAUUUAAUAAGUAAAUAUUUGUAAUAACAAUUACUCCAUAUAUUAACAUUUGUUAUUAAAAAAAGAGAUUGAUAUUGAUACGUAAAUAUGUCAGUGCACAUCAGAUACAUAUGUUCUAUACGAGUGUUGACUUGACUUAAAUCCUAUAUGUUGACCAAUUUUAGAAAUUGCUCCUAUAGAAAUUUAGUAUUUUUUUUUUCUCUUGACGCAUCCCUGAUUGUCUCUUAAGAAUGGGUCAACCAUUAAGUUUCCCAGGAACAAGGGGAGCUGACUUAGUUUAGAAAUUAGAAAGUACCAACUCUCAUUGUAAAAUGAAAGAAUCAAACAAAUAAAACAACAGAUUGGAACUUUAAGCAACAACACAAGGGAACUUCUUGAUUUUUAUAACAAAAAUCAUCCAAAGUUGAUCAAAGUAUAACAAAUUGUAUUUAAAACGACAACCGGUAGUAAUUAAUUGUAACUUUAAGUUUGAAUUUAGAAUUUCUUAAAUAUUUAUGCAUAAAUUUCAUCAAUUUUUGUUGUAUUUUAAAAAUGACCAAUGUUAAUAUAUAGUUAGUCGUCAUAAUCCACUUGAAGUGUGCUUUUCAUCAAGGUCGUGAUUAUCUUUGGUACUAAUUUGGGUGAGUUAGUUUAACUUCUUUAAAAAAAAAAAAUAGUUAGUCAUCAUUAAAAAGUUAGUCAUCGCUUUAAAAAAAAUAGUUAGUCGUCAUUUUUAUUAUAUUUUUUAUCGCCAAACCAGGAGAAAUGACAUGCAUCAAAAGAAAACAUCGAUAUCCCAAUUAGGUUGGCACCCCGAUAAACCCCAUCCUCUACCGCAAAAUUCAAAAUAUUAUUAAAAAAGGGGGAAAAAAUUUACAAGAGGGGAGACUAUACCAAAACCCUUAAAAAAAACAAAAACAGAAAAAAAACAACCGUCUAGAGAAACCUAUAACGAGGCAUACCACAACAGUCUGAAUAAAAAUUCGCUUGCAAGUCAGGAGGUAGAACCGACAACUACACUGCCCCAUGAGUCGAGUGACCCAUAUUAGCCAACUUAUCAGCACAACAAUUACCUCUCUCAUUAGUACAAAUUCGUGACUCCAAUACCAUGUCAAUACCAAGAAGGGACAUAUACAAAAUUGACCAUAGGUUCAGCAAAAAAAAUGAGAACAAGCUUAUGAGAAAAAAGAAAAAGAAAAAUUAAGGCAAAUUUUGUGCCCGAGUUACCGAAGCCGCGAACAUUUCAAUACAAAACAAUCAUUGAUCAGUUAGAGAGGUAUCACCCCUAGAACGGGUUUUGUAUGGCUUACCAAUAGUAGUUUUCUUCAGAUGAUCAUGCUUCUGUUUCUUACUUAGAACUGGAAUAAAUGGCAAUUCAACUGACUUUUGAUCAUAUUCACGAAUACGGCGCCAUAACUUCAUGUCUAGCUGAAUUCUCGGAUUACUCUGAAUGGCUUCAUGUGUUGUCUGCGCCAAACUAUCUGGGGCCGCAUCUUGCACCAAAGACUCAAUCUGAGACUUCUCCUCAGUAACUGUUGCGAAAACCGAAGCCCUGAGAGGGCCAGUUGGGGAACCAAAAUGCACGUCAUGGUGCUCUACAACACGAUGAUCUGUAUGAACCGGUGGCACCUCCAUACCUACCGGAAGAAACCAAUUCAACAAACCUCUCUAGCACAUCAUCGUGCGCUACAGGGGAUGAACGUGUCGCAGUCGCAUCCAAAACCUUGGGACUCUUCACCAGCUUCCGUGGUUGCAAAUGCUCCUCUUCACUUUUCAUACAUACUUUUAUUUUGACAAGUAAUUAUAUUUUUUAAUAUAGUUACACAUAAUAAAAAACACAGUAUUUUUCUUUAUUCUUAACCUAAUAAUGAAAUACCAAUAAAUGUUUAGACGAGUUACACUGGUUUCUUCUAACUUAACCAAGGUCCUGAGUUUGAAAACCAAGGUCAUAAGUUCGAAUACAAUAUUGAACAUGAGUUAACACUAAAAUUCUUUAGGAGAGUUUGCCGCCUAUUUAAAUCUCAUAAAACUUGACUAAUUAAUUUUCGUAGUUACACGCCUACCCGAUUUCAAAACAAAAAAAAAAAAGAAACUAAUAAUAAAAAGUUCCUACUAAUUUCCACCGUCAAAUAUAACGGCCACAUUUUUUUAACGCUCUCAUUCAACUUGAAUUGUCACCUUUAUUUAUUUUUUUUAAGAAAGAAGAAUGUUACCCUUUAUUUUAUUUUUCGUUCAAACCACGCGCCGUAUUUCUAACAGCUCAAAUCUAAACCUUUUUUUUUUCUUUUGUUUUUGUCUGCUAAAUUUCGGUUCAAAAAAACAAAAAAGCCCCCAACUAUUGAAAAGAAACAACCACCCUCUUUCUAUCUCCUUUCUUUCAUGUUUCUCAAAACUCCACAUAUAUAUAAACACCAUCCUCCCCUUCUCUUCAAUUCAACCUUUCAAUUCCUCAAAUAUUUCUAUAUCCAUUAUUUCAUCCUAUUUCUAAUCCUUCACACUUUUCUUUUCCACAAUAAAAUUUAGGUGACCCUCAUCAUCAAUUUUUUGUUCACAUAUUGAAAAAUAAAAUUAUUUUGAGAGAUUAGUCUCUAAUUGUUGGCCGAAUACGUGAAGUCACCCUAAAGAUUUACUUAUUACUUGUGAAACAAUAAACUAUAGCAUUUCAUUUUUCACAUACUUUGAGUUUAAAGGAAUUAUUCUCUAGCUUCCGAUUGAGAUAUCUUGAAACACUUACAUAAAAUGUCACGAACAAUAGAGAUAACAAUUUUGUCAGCGGAGAAUCUUCAAGAGAACAAAAAAGCCAUAAAAGGAAACACAUUUGUCACGGUUCAAUGUGACGGAAGCAAUAAUGAAGUGAGCACCACGAAACUUGAUUCUGAAGGCGGAAGUUAUCCUACAUGGAACGAGAAGGUAGUGAUCGACGUGCCAUUACAUGCAAGGUUCGUUACAAUAGAGGUGAAGUACAAAACUAGAGGAAGUAGUAGUAAUAGUGUUGGAAUGGCUAGAAUACCGGUUUCCGAUUUUGUUGGAGGGUAUGUACAUGAAAAUCAAUUGCAAUUUUUAAGUUAUAGGUUGUGGGAUAAUAGAGUUAUGAGAAAUGGGGUUGUAAAUAUUUCUGUGAAGGUAAAAAUGUCCCAACAAAAUUCUUGCUCGAGUUCGAUGUCAUCGACGAUGAAUGGAGUUCCAGUAACUGGCGUUCCGGUGGCCGGUAAUGGCUCCUGCAGCAGAGUUGCAACAGGGAUUCCUGCUGUUUGGUUAAACUACCAAAGACACAUUUGAAAGGGUACUUUGUAAUCAUCAUGUAUAUUAAAAACAGAAAGCAUACAUUUCCAUAUUGACAAUACACGUGGGAAUUAUUUAUGUCUCAAUUUGUAUAUUUAUUUCAAUGUUCUUUUAAUAUUACGUCAAUCAGUAUUGCAAUUUAAACAUGAUCAAAAUCAACACUAAAUAUUAAGGUAAGAGAUAAAAUAUGUAUCAAAGGAUGAAUCGUUGAAGACAAUCCGAAUUUUAGACCUCUUAAUAUGUAAAAAUUAAUUUGAAUCUUAACUACUCAUAUAUUCAUAUAGA